GCGAGGUUGUCGGAACUGGGAGACGCAAUGGACUUAGGAUCCAGCCCCUUUUGGGGUGGGGGUUCAACUCCCCCUCCUCGCA
rnacentral:tRNA from 1 species